rnacentral:rRNA from 1 species
AGAACGAACGCUGGCGGCAUGCCUAAUACAUGCAAGUCGAACGAACUCUUCGGAGUUAGUGGCGCACGGGUGCGUAACGCGUGGGAAUCUGCCCCUUGGUUCGGAAUAACAGUUGGAAACGACUGCUAAUACCGGAUGAUGACGAAAGUCCAAAGAUUUAUCGCCAAGGGAUGAGCCCGCGUAGGAUUAGCUAGUUGGUGAGGUAAAGGCUCACCAAGGCAACGAUCCUUAGCUGGUCUGAGAGGAUGAUCAGCCACACUGGGACUGAGACACGGCCCAGACUCCUACGGGAGGCAGCAGUAGGGAAUAUUGGACAAUGGGCGAAAGCCUGAUCCAGCAAUGCCGCGUGAGUGAUGAAGGCCUUAGGGUUGUAAAGCUCUUUUACCCGAGAUGAUAAUGACAGUAUCGGAGAAUAAGCCCCGGACUAACUCCGUGCCAGCAGCCGC